rnacentral:lncRNA from 1 species
GUGUCAAGUCCCACGCGCGGCCCGCGGAGAACCCAGGGGCGGCCCGCGCGCGUCGGCCUAGCGGGGAGGGCUGCUCCGGGACACGGUGCGGCGGCCGCGGGCGAGUUGGACGCGCUGGCAGAGCCGGGCCGAAGGCGGCGGGCGUCUCCGGGCAGCCAUGUUCGCGGCGCCCGCCCGCGCAGCAGGACGGAGCCCUGACAGCAAUGUUUGCUACGGCCUCCCUCUGCAGUCAGCCUAAAGCAAGGAGCUGGAGGUAGAUGAGGCAAAGGUAAAGGAGACCAAAACAGUAUUUUAAAGAAAAAAUCAUUUAUCUUCAAAUAGGCUCCAAACCUAAGAGUGUCCAGGCUGGAGGUGAUCUCGGCUUACCGCAACCUCCGCCUCCGGGUUCAAGUGAUUCUGCCGCCUCAGCCUUCCUGGGUAGCUGGGAUUACAGGCACGCAUCACCACGCCCGGCUACUUUUGUAUUUUUAGUAGAGAUAGGGUUUCUCCGUGUUGGUCAGGCUGGUCUCGAACUCCCAACCUCAGGUGAUCCGCCCGCCUCAGCCUCCCAAAGUGCUGGGAUUACAGGCAUGAGCCACCAUGCCUGGCUAUUAACCUUGUUUCUAACUUCAGCAUUGCACAUCUCCUUAGUAAAGCAGUAGCCAUUAACAAGUCAGGUCCAACAACCAUUUUCCUCUGGUCCUCAAGCAGAGACUCAGAGCCAGUUACACAUAAACUAUUUCAUUAUAACAUGAAAAUAGCAAGCCUUGGGCUAUUGCAAAAGGCUUUUCAAAUGUUGACCUCUAACUUGGAGAAAAUAGAGGGAAGCAGAAAUAUAGGGUGCUAAUUUGUGCUAUAACCUGGUCUCAUGUCGUGGUAUAUUCCCAGUUGCAACAUUUUAAAUUUAUAAGUGAGAAAGUAAAACAAAGCUUCAUAUCUGUGAAAGUGAAAAAUUGUCCAGAAGUCUUCUAUUCAAAGACCAAUUAGCUUUUUCUUCCCAAUAACUUAUCAGAAAGAAAUGGGUACUUAGAAACCUAAGGGGUUCUUUAAAUAGGAGUCAGAAAAAAUAUAUAAAAAUAAAAAACAAAGCAAGAAAGAACAUUGUAUAAAAAUAAAAUGUUCUUUAAAGAUGACUGCCCUCUCUUGAAAGAUGAGUGCUAUAUUAAAAGGGUAGAUGUAUCUCUAUAACUCAUCGUGUUUAUAUGUAAAUUCUCUGGCAGAUAUAAACCCAUCUUUGUCUUCAUCUUCUUUAUCAAAAAUAUCCUCCACCAAAGCAUCAUGAUGACUUUCAUUCACCACCGCACCAUGUUUUUCAAACUCCUUCUUUAAAUAUGCUUUAACCUACAAAAUAACAGAUCCCAUUAAUAACUUGGAUUCAUAAGAUACCCACAUUGAGCCAAUCAAUAUCACAGACAUGGACUGUUAUUAUAUUUAGUUCAUUAACUAAAUAUAAUACCUUCUAAACAGCCAUUUUAUGACAUAGUUUUAAUGAUAAUUAAAAAAUAAUAGAAACUUUUUCCCUUAAAAAAACUGUUGCUAAACUGCUAAAGUGGAGACACAAAAUAUUGCUCAAAGGCAGGGCCAGGUGUGGUGGCUCAUGCCUGUUAUCCCAGCACUUUGGGAGGCCCAAGUGGGAAGAUUGCUUGAGGUCAGGAGUUGGAGAUCAGCCUGGCCGAC